GAGAAGACGUCUAUUUGAGGAAGUCUUACAGGAUGUGAUCAAUGCUUCUGAAUGCAUACUAAUUCCUUGUUCCUCUAGACACCCAUAUGGAGAUGUGGCCAUGUUUACCAGACAUGUGGUUAUACCAAGUCUUCUUCUCUUUACAAGGCUAUGUUUUAUCAGUGGGUGGCAAGCAGAUGAGAGAUAGAGAAGAUUCUGGUUUCAAAGCAAAUAAACACCAACCUGGAUGAUGGAAUGUCCACAGGCAAAACAAAGCAGGAAAAAAUCCAUAUAUCCUGCUUGGCCAAAUGGAUAUCCUGAGGAGGGUUAUUUCAAGAGAGGAGGUGUCAUCAGGACCAGGGGCUGAUGGGAGUUGCCUGAGGCACACGGGAGAGUGUGGAAGAACUGGAAAAACUUGGGUGUUGCUGAAGGUGACCUUGAGCUUGGACAAGUGAGGUAACUGACUUGAAAGCAGAGGAAUAGUAACUUGACCACUACUCAGUACUACAUCAUGGAGAAUCUGUGGCUGAAUAAUUUUCCAGGCAAUAAUUUUAAGUUACCAAAAAUGUGUUAUUAAAAUAAUAGCCAAAUCUCAAGUUUGUUGGUUGUUAGUUGACCUCACCAUCCAACAUUUCAUCACUGCAAGAAGAGGGCAGAAAGUUUUCCAGACAUUACACCAUAAAGGCUUAGAAGGUAUUACUAUUAUUUUCUAUAUCAACUUUUAAAUCAUAAAACUAAACUCAUUUCCACUUGGUAAGGUAGAGGCUGACCAGACUGUGAGUGUUUGAGUGUCUGAACUUUAGUAUCAUUUGAAUACAUGCCCACUCUACUCAUUACACUCGCUACCUAAGA